AUUGAACGCUGGCGGCAGGCCUAACACAUGCAAGUCGAGCGGAUGAAGGGAGCUUGCUCCUGGAUUCAGCGGCGGACGGGUGAGUAAUGCCUAGGAAUCUGCCUGGUAGUGGGGGAUAACGUCCGGAAACGGGCGCUAAUACCGCAUACGUCCUGAGGGAGAAAGUGGGGGAUCUUCGGACCUCACGCUAUCAGAUGAGCCUAGGUCGGAUUAGCUAGUUGGUGGGGUAAAGGCCUACCAAGGCGACGAUCCGUAACUGGUCUGAGAGGAUGAUCAGUCACACUGGAACUGAGACACGGUCCAGACUCCUACGGGAGGCAGCAGUGGGGAAUGUUGGACAAAGGGCGAAAGCCUGAUCCAGCCAUGCCGCGUGUGUGAAGAAGAUCUUCGGAUUGUAAAGCACUUUAAGUUGGGAGGAAGGGCAGUAAGUUAAUACCUUGCUGUUUUGACGUUACCAACAGAAUAAGCACCGGCUAACUUCGUG
rnacentral:rRNA from 1 species